GCUCCAGUAGCGCAAUCGGUUAGCGCGUGGUACUUAUACAGCAGUACUCAUUAGAGUGAUGCCGAGGUUGUGAGUUCGAGCCUCACCUGGAGCA
rfam:Scleropages formosus scaffold2526, whole genome shotgun sequence.